UACGAAGGGGGCUAGCGUUGUUCGGAAUUACUGGGCGUAAAGGGCGCGUAGGCGGCGCUGCUAGUCAGGCGUGAAAUUCCUGGGCUUAACCUGGGGGCUGCGCUUGAUACGGCAGUGCUAGAGGACGGAAGAGGGUCGUGGAAUUCCCAGUGUAGAGGUGAAAUGCGUAGAGAUCGGGAGGAACAUCAGUGGCGAAGGCGGUUGCCUGGCCUAAGACUGACGCUGAGGCGCGAAGGCGUGGGGAGCGAACAGG
rnacentral:rRNA from 1 species